rnacentral:rRNA from 1 species
AAUGAACGUUGGCGGCGUGGAUUAGGCAUGCGAGUCGCGCGAGAAUCGUAGCAAUACGAGGAAAGCGGCGAAAGGGAGAGGAAUACGUAGAAAUCUGCCCUCGGGACUGGGAUAGCGGCGGGAAACUGCCGGUAAUACCAGAUAACGUCUUCGGACCAAAGGUGUGAUUCCGCCUGAGGAUGAGUCUACGACCUAUUAGCUUGUUGGCGGGGCAAUGGCCCACCAAGGCGACGAUGGGUAGCAGGUCUGAGAGCACGACCUGCCUCAUUGGGACUGGGACUCUGCCCAGACACCUACGGGUGGCUGCAGUCGAGAAUCUUCGGCAAUGGACGAAAGUCUGACCGAGCGACGCCGCGUGCGGGAUGAAGGCCUUCGGGUUGUAAACCGCUGUCGUAGGGAACCAAAUUCACGGGGGUUCUCCCCUGUGAUUGAGAGAACCUAGGAGGAAGGAGAGGCUAAGCUCGUGCCAGCAGCCGCGGUAA